CUGUGCCCUGCCCAUGGUGUUUGGUUCCUCCCAGCAAAGCCAGAGAGAAGUGACACCAGCUAGCAAACAAAUAGAGAAAAAGACCUAGAAAAAAAUUCCAGGCUGCAUUAAUCCCCUGGCUAUUGUUGGCAUCCUCCAUUUACUCUAAACAAGAAGAAGCAGAUAAGCUCCUGUAUGAAGUAAAAUUGCUGAAAACAGUAGAAGCUACCACCCAGGCAGUUAUCCUAUGAAGAAAAGCUAAAGUAUGUAUUAAGCUGUGGAGAACAAAGACCUUUCCUGGGAAAUUAUUAUAUAUUCAUUGGCUGAAACAUCAACUGAUAGGAGCUAAGUGUUUAAAAGCAAUCAGAAAGCUGGGAAAAAACAAAUAUGCAAUGUGGGUGGCCUCAGGAGAAAGCCAAGAAGGAAAGCUGAGUACCUACUGGAAAAACAGAGUCGGAUUUGUGAGUGGGGGAAUAAGCUUCUGGUGUUUGUUCCAACUGUGUUCGGGGAAAAAGGACUUUGUGUACAUUCUUUGCAAGUAUGUGAGAUUUCAUCAGAGAAACAUGUGGCCAAAGUCAAUAGAUUCUCCUAAUAAAAAGAAAAACAGGUCAAGAUCAUAACUGGUGGCUAAAUGUUUGAGCGGGACAGCAGGUAAUUGAAAACAGUAUUUUUUAAAGUUCGUGUGUUUGCUGAGAAUGUAUACUUCUUCAAGCUUGAGAAGCUCAUUUCAUGUACAUGACUGGCUCAUUGAGGCUCAAGGAAUUGAGGCAUUGCGUAGCUCAGAUCAUCUCUUCCCUACAACCGACAGUAGCAUAAAUCUGGCGGACUUGGAGGGGAACAUACAGCCUCGAAGGAAGGAUGCCUGUACUACAUCUCUCUUCUCCCUUCGACCCCGCUGUGUUCAGUCUACAAAGGGAUUUUGCUCUGCUAUAAUCUUUUUGACAGCUAAUUUGUGAAGGAUAAAGCUACCUGUUCAGCAAUAUCUUAACUUUCCAGAAGUGCAAACUUUGCUUUGAAAAUUUGUUACAGAAUUUAAUUGCAUAUUUAAUGCAACUAAUUGCACUUUAUUUGUGCUAAUUUUAUUGUCUCUGGAUAGGAUCUCUUUUAAAACAUAAGACAGAAAAAAGGACACAUAUAUUCUACUAGUGCCUUAAACAAAAAUAUGCAGACUAUCUAAGCUGACAUGAUGUUUAAAAAUCUCCUAAGUAACUCUGAUCCCUCUCUUCAUCAUUCUCUCAUUCCCAAAAGAAUAAAAGUGAUUAGAACAGCAAACACCUGGCAUGUUGGUCACGCAGCAUGACUUUACAUUGUAAUCAUCUCGUCAAGGAGCUGAAAAUAGCACUGUGCUGCAGUGUUCAAGCAGUUCUGCUUCAGGAAGGAAGACAAUAACCAGCAUUUGGCAGCAGCCUACACACAUACUAACUGUGAGCGAUACAGAAGUAUUCCAGAAAUUGCAUACCUCAUCUAAUCUUGAAAACAUUCACUCUGCUUUCCCUGGCAAUGUAUCACUGAGACCCACACACUUCUUGUCUCCAAGAGAAAGGUGGUGGGCAUUUACUGUGCUGCACACAGCCAUAAAGAAAUCUGUAUAGCAACACUUGCUCCAGCUUUCAGCAAAACAGUGCAUAAAAUUAAAUUAAUUCUAGCAUGUUCAGUGUGCCACAUAAAUUGCAGGAAAGAACAGCAAAAAUCUUUAUUUGAAUGAAUUAACGUGAAUCGUAAGCAGAUGAGGAAGAAAGAAAUCAAAGGUCUUCAGGAAAAGACGGUAGGCUUGAAAUGUGUAAAGAAGCCAUGAGAACCAAUGACAUGUGUUGAUGGGAACUAGAGGAAAACACAAGGUUGUGGUGGGCAGUUCCAGAGAGCUGAUGGUGUAGUAGCAACUGGACUACAUUUCAUGAUUUGUGGCUGCUAGACUGCAGCAAUCCAUUGUAAGCAAUAUAUUUAGACAAGACAUCUUGACAAAAGAGAAUUUCUUGAGGGUGGGAGAAUGACUCAGCUAAUCUGGCAGCAAGGCAGUGUCAUUGGUGGAAAUAGUGAUGCCAUUUGGUGAAAACAGUGAUGGGUUGAUUUAAACACAACACAUAGGGCUUUCAGAACUGGACUGAAAAGCAAAUAGCUUUUGCAGCCUGAGGGAUCACAGAGAUUAAGAGGUUAAAAAAGAGACAAAAAAAGAGUUAAAAAAGAGGUUAAAAAAAUAGACAUUUUUUUUCAGAAGCGGAUGUCAUAGUGACAGAAAUCUUCCUGAGCUUUUUGAAAAGCACCAACACCAACUUUGGAACUUGUCAGUCUCUGUAUGUUUGGUCACUCAUCACACGCACAGCUAAAAAUUCACCGGUGGACUAAAAUGUGCUUGCAAAUUUAUUUUUUUUUUUAUUUUGUCAAUUACAUCUUUCAUUGUGAGAACUUCACUUACACAUUACCUCAGCACAGCCCUCUGUGUUGUAUUCUGCAGAAGUUUUCAUUUAUUGUAGAUGAUGCCUUAGCAUCAUGUUUUACACAAACAUCUAUUGUAUUUUAAUUCUGUUAGCUUGUCUCAGUCCCUUUUUUUUGAGCAAUCUACUGUGUGGUAAUCACAACAGUAGGGUCUGAUCUGUGCUUUUAAUUAAACUAGCAAAGCAGUUUGAUCCCCUGUGUUUUCUUUCAUAUAGACUAACAAGUUUAUUUUCAUUUUUUGGUAGUGAUAGUGAGCUCACAAAAAGUGUAACAAGGUGAACACAUUUGUAAAAUGAAAUACAAGGCACAGGGUUAGCUAACACAUUUUUUUUUUUUUUUCUGAGGAUCUUUUCAGGUGAAAAAUGAAAACCAAAUAGCUAUUUUACUGUGAGAUACACUGAUGUGUCCCAUAUGUUAUCAUCUUUUGGUCCAUGAAAAAGAGGCAAUAUUAGAUAGAGGGAGACAUAGAAAAUAUAUGAAAUUAGGACAUUUAGAAAGAGGCACAUAGCAGCUUAUAGGAAAGGAUAUUAAAGUUUCUGAUGCUUGAAUUCUAUGCAGUGCUCAGCCUCAUUAUUUUCCAGAAAGGGAGAUGUUAGGAAGCUGUCAAAUAAUUACAUUUUAGCAAAUCGUUCAUGUUGGGAAAAGAGAAAAAGAGCAAAAAACUGACCAUAAC